GAGAUGUGUUGAGCUUAUUCGGCUGAUGGACAGAGUGGAGCUGGUUGAGGCCUUGGGACACCAAGGUAGAGAUUGUUGUGAUCCAGGUGGUGUGCCCAAGGCCCAGGGGACCAAAGCUAAGGCCAAGGUCCAUCAUUCAUGAGGGCUUCAUGGAGGCUCUAGGGCUAGUUGGGCCCUAGGUUGAAAGGCUGUGGGCCUUUUGGGUUCUUGAGGUCUAGGUUAUGUGGGCCUCAAGGGACCAACUCUUUAUGGGCCAGGUCUGGGCCCAGGAUAGAUGAGAUUAGGUCGAGUCAUGGGUGUACAUGGGCUUGGGUUAACCUAAUCUCCCAUAGAGUUGGUCAAGGGAGUUUUGGGUUUGGGUCACUUGACCCUGUAUUUAUAUAUACAUGUACUGUAUAGGUUUGAUUAAGCCAAGGGAAUACUAAACUCUUUCUCCCAAGUCUCUCUCUCUCUUCUCCCUCUCUCUCCAGCUAUUCUCCAUGCCCCAGGAGUAAGAAACCCUAGGGUUUCUUGCCGCC
rnacentral:lncRNA from 1 species